GAUGGGUACUCAAUUCCAACUCAGGUAUGCAUUCAAUACAAUAAAUCUAAGGAUUACCUAAACCUAAAGUUCAAUGCGCAAUGAAUCGAACAAAGUAUGAAUUGAAUCUACUGCCCAAUUCUGUCAACCAACCAGGUAAGGUAUAUAGCCGUGGGAGGCUUCCUUUACUCUCGCAAGGACAUAAUUAGAGAACCAUGAGCUAGCUUCAGCAUUUGCCUCUUAAUCGCUUGCCUUAGACACCAU
rnacentral:lncRNA from 1 species